UACGGAGGAUCCAAGCGUUAUCCGGAUUCAUUGGGUUUAAAGGGUGCGUAGGCGGAAUGAUAAGUCAGUGGUGAAAUCCUGCAGCUUAACUGCAGAACUGCCAUUGAUACUGUCAAUCUUGUGUAUAUUUGAUGUGGGCGGAAUGUGUCAUGUAGCGGUGAAAUGCUUAGAUAUGACACAGAACACCGAUUGCGAAGGCAGCUCACAAAACUAUAACCUGACGCUGAGGCACGAAAGCGUGGGUAUCAAACAGG
rnacentral:rRNA from 1 species